UGCCAGACUCCUACGGGAGGCAGCAGUAGGGAAUAUUGCUCAAUGGGGGAAACCCUGAAGCAGCAACGCCGCGUGGAGGAUGAAGGUUUUCGGAUUGUAAACUCCUUUUGUUAGAGAAGAUAAUGACGGUAUCUAACGAAUAAGCACCGGCUAACUCCGUGCCAGCAGCCGCGGUAAUACGGAGGGUGCAAGCGUUAUCCGGAUUUAUUGGGUUUAAAGGGUGCGCAGGCGGCGUGUCAAGUCAGCGGUAAAAUGUCGGGGCUCAACCCCGGCCGGCCGUUGAAACUGGCGUGCUCGAGUUGGAGAGAAGUAUGCGGAAUUCGUGGUGUAGCGGUGAAAUGCAUAGAUAUCACGAAGAACCCCGAUUGCGAAGGCAGCAUACCGGCUCCACACUGACGCUGAGGCACGAAAGCGUGGGUAUCGAACAGGAUUAGAUACCCCCGUAC
rnacentral:rRNA from 1 species